rnacentral:rRNA from 1 species
UGCUCUCCUCGCGCAGAAUUUUAAAGAGGUUCAUUAGGGGUGUUUAAUUUCCGUCCCUAUCGUGGCGUUUAAGGGCAAGCGAAUGGUCACGACAGGAGGGGACGAGCGACGGGGGGGCGGCGGCGGCAAAGAUCCCAAUCGCGCAGACGGGGUGGGAAGGGAGGCAGGAGCCAGCCCUACCGGCUCUUGUGCGGCGUCGGCCGCCGGUGGGAAGAGAGGUUGGAGUGACAGCGCCUCCCGUGCUGCCGCUGAGGCCGGCGUUGGCGAGAGGGGAGGCGGGGGCGCUGGCGCCACCACCCGUGCGGCAGCGGCGGCGGCGACGUCGAGAAGUUGAGCUACUGCUUCUUCUUCCUCGGGAAGCACGGCGCGCAGCUCCCGUUCCAGCCGUACAUGCAGACGCCGCAGUGCGGCAUGCUGAAGUCGGUGCAGCCGGUGCGGGCGCGGAUGCAGCGGAAGCUGCAGGAGAUGUCCAUAGAAUUUAAGAACCCCAUACUUCAACUUAUACACGCGUUGAAGUGACUAUAGCUACUAUUCUAAUAAUUUGCCCGUUUAGUUUUACCACUUUGACAAUGAUCGAACUCGUCAGCCAAGUAGCGACUCAAGGAGUGACUACACCGACUCGAAGUCACAGACGGGGGAUGAGUGCUCGGUGCGCACUGUCUCGUAUAACUGUUAUAGUGACUGAAUUAGUUUCUCUAUUAGUUCUUACUGUUCCGGAUACAACAUCUGCCACUACAAAUGAAGAGGCAGCUGUUAAAAGGGCUUAUAGAGUCAAAUAGACCGUCCUAUGACCUGGUGUUAGCACGACCAAGUGCCCAACGACAGCUAUGUUCUUUCGCCUUGGGACGUCUGAAACGUAACACCUUCCGACGAUUCCUUCCACUCGGAAGAACCCUCUCGGGAACCCCAGUCCCUUCCGGUCCUACCGUAUAACUUACGUCACGUUACUCACGAGUGAUAAAUCCCGUACACAAACUAUAAGUACCACCUCCCUUUCUAAACUAUAAAGGAGUAGUACUCUUACUCGAACGUGUUUCAGCUCGUCGAAUAGGUCUUUCACUCCAGUUUACGACCUACGUAUUACCGAAAUAAUUGUAACUACUAGUCUUUUACAGUUUUAGUCAAUUAUUGAAGAAGUGCUAGUCUCUAUAAUAUUGAGACAUAGUAGGAAACCGCGACUCUAAAAAGGACUACGCGUGGGUAAUAUUUAGUCUGCGCUUAGUAAGACUAUUUCGUGAACUCUAACGUAGACUAGCACACAUGAUGUAAAUAGUCUGAAAUAUACUGACGCUACUUCACCACAGAGACGUACCACUUCUCUUAUGUAGACAGGGUCAGGGUCGGCUCCUCGUUUUUGACCAACUCCUGGUGCUAUUUCGAAAAAACCUUAGUUACAGUCUACUAGAAGCUUGCUGUCUACACGACCUACCGAAGUACCUCGACGACUUCCGUUAUUUGCCGUUAAAUUUACUAAACUUCUUCGACGUCGUUUUUGACCUUGUUGUUUUCUUCUUCGUUGUCGUCGUUUUCUUCGUCGUCGUCUUCGUUGUCGCCGGUGUCUUCGUCGGCCUUCUAGUGUAAGUUCGAGACUUACGUGACCCUCGUCUUUAAUUUGUGUUCGAUAGGUAGGAACCAGACUACGGUGGGAGAGGAAACCGUCUCCAUGACUUCGUCGACUUCCUGUUCCGUGACUUCGCCCGUCCCGACUGGCUCCUUAGCGACGUCCUCGUCUAACUCGUCUCCUAGCGGCGCUCCUUGUUGUUCGUCAAGCUGCACAGCCUGGUCUAGUCCUUCCUCGAGCGCCCGUUUCCGUAGCGGGACUACCUGCUCGGAUGGCCCUGCCACACCUCUGGUACGCUUGCCCUCAUCAGCCACUAAUUAUACACGGACCAAAUUGUCUACUGUCACAUGUUGCCUGCCUAGAAUAACGCGACCACGUCUAAAAUGAGUACGUUAUAGCGGUCAAAACCUGCACCACAAAGACAUCCCCAAGGUUCAACUGAGUUCUCUGCUCCGGGCACAACACAGCCAACAACGCAUCCUCCUGUUUAACUUCCCAGGAGGCAUAUAACCAUAUGAAGUGAUAAUAAUCAGAGGGCACAACUUAAACUUACUUACUUUACCACUUCAACCCGCAGC